rnacentral:rRNA from 1 species
UACAGAGGGUGCUAGCGUUGUUCGGAAUCAUUGGGCGUAAAGGGCUCGUAGGCGGCCAACUAAGUCGGAUGUGAAAUCCCCAGGCUCAACUUGGGAACUGCAUCCGAUACUGGAUGGCUUGAAUUCGGGAGAGGGAUGCAGAAUUCCAGGUGUAGCGGUGAAAUGCGUAGAUAUCUGGAGGAAUACCGGUGGCGAAGGCGGCAUCCUGGACCGACAUUGACGCUGAGGAGCGAAAGCUAGGGGAGCAAACGGG